CUACACCCACAAUCGCCC
rnacentral:miRNA from 1 species